GCGACCGGCGCACGGGUGAGUAACACGUAUCCAACCUUCCGUUUACUCAGGGAUAGCCUUUCGAAAGAAAGAUUAAUACCUGAUAGUAUGGUGAGAUUGCAUGAUAGCACCAUUAAAGAUUUAUUGGUAAACGAUGGGGAUGCGUUCCAUUAGGUAGUAGGCGGGGUAACGGCCCACCUAGCCGACGAUGGAUAGGGGUUCUGAGAGGAAGGUCCCCCACAUUGGAACUGAGACACGGUCCAAACUCCUACGGGAGGCAGCAGUGAGGAAUAUUGGUCAAUGGGCGAGAGCCUGAACCAGCCAAGUAGCGUGAAGGAUGAAGGUCCUACGGAUUGUAAACUUCUUUUAUACGGGAAUAAAGUAUCCUACGUGUAGGAUUUUGUAUGUACCGUAUGAAUAAGCAUCGGCUAACUCCGUGCCAGCAGCCGCGGUAAUACGGAGGAUGCGAGCGUUAUCCGGAUUUAUUGGGUUUAAAGGGAGCGCAGACGGGAGAUUAAGUCAGUUGUGAAAGUUUGCGGCUCAACCGUAAAAUUGCAGUUGAUACUGGUUUCCUUGAGUGCAGUUGAGGCAGGCGGAAUUCGUGGUGUAGCGGUGAAAUGCUUAGAUAUCACGAAGAACCCCGAUUGCGAAGGCAGCUU
rnacentral:rRNA from 1 species